UGGACCAAGAGGAAAGGCGCCCACCUGCCCUGGUGAUUUCAGAGCUGAGGGCAGCAAGCACCCCUCUCUGUUAGGGGACAGUGUCAGCAGCAAGAGCCGAGGAGCUGGCACCCCCCGCCUGCACAGGACCCUUGCCCAGCCCUGCCCUGGUGCGUGGUGAUGCUGGCUCCCUCUGCCCGUGGGUUUCCAGCCCCAAGGAGCUGCUGGCAGGCUGCCCACGGGCAUUUUGGGUUGGGCUGGGUGUGGGUAGUGCUGGCGGGGCUGUGUGCAUGGGCCGGACCCCUCGGGUCACACCGGGGAUGCCCCGCGGAUGGGGCUCGAGUGUCCGUUGUAGCCCACUCCGUUUCCACACCAAAUGUUUGCCUCCUGCUUCCUGUUUUGUUGAAUAAUUCAUAAUGAGUGAUUAGUGGA